GGAGAGACACUGAGCUGGAGCAGCUCUCACACACUGAGGAUCGCCUCCACCUCCUACAGAGACUGUGAGACAACUUCAGAGGAGUCUGAAUGAAGAAUUCACUAAAACUCUUAAAGAGAUCAGACAACCAGACACAGUCGAAGUCUUUACUGCUCCGAUGCACUCCAUUGAAAAAUUGGGUGCUGAGCCGCUUGAGGUGAUGGAGGGGAAAAAAGCAGCAGAGAGGCGGGCUGAAGAUCUGGAGCAGAAAAUCACUGAGCUAAACAGGAGAUACAAUGAGGAUCACCUUCACCUCCUACAGCUUUACACAUCCCUGAACCUCUUACUCACCAGCAACUGCAGUGAUUUCAGUGUUGAACCUCAUUUGAGUGAAGAGACUGUGAGGAAAAAUCUGUCUCAACUUCAGAGUCUGAAUGAAAAACUCACUAAAACUCUUCAAAAAAUCAGACAACCAGGUGAGAAACUUAUCUGAAAUAUGUAGUAGAAAGAAUUGUAUAUAAUGCAAUAUGGUUAAUGUGUUCAGUGUAGAGGAUAUAAGGAUAUUUAGAUAUGUUCAUUCUGGAGCUUUAUGUGAAUCUAAUUGAAUAAUAUUAUUUAUUGUUAGUAGACUUAGAAGAACUGAAGAGGAUUUAUCAGCAUAAAGGUACUGUAUGAUUUCUCAUAAUCACACCACAAUGAUAAUGUGUCUUAGUCUGUAAGCUGAUCAGCGAAUGUAUACGUUUGCAAUGUUUGCAUCAAUUUAAAUGAACACUGUUAGCAUGAUCCACACCGGGUCCAUUAUCCCAGCUAACAUAGAACAUUAUGAGAAUGUUUAGCAACAAAAUAAAAAAAACGUUUAUUCUGUAAUGUUACA
rnacentral:lncRNA from 1 species